UCCUGUAAAAGUUCUGUAAAAGGGUUGGACCCGAAGCCUAUAGGAGGCUAUUAUAGGCCCUCCUUCUCAGCUCCUACUCAAUACGUCCACGACGUGCAGAACGGUAACUUGUCGCCUAGAUAUCCAAGCUUGGGUACACGGGGAAACCCACCCCCUUGGGCGGAUGGGCGGCCAAUUGAGAGGG
rnacentral:ribozyme from 1 species